GGUAUUGCGCCGGUCUGAACGGAUUAUAUUGAUGUUAUAAAUUAUAAGAUUAUAUCUUCUAUGCCU
rnacentral:tRNA from 1 species